rnacentral:rRNA from 1 species
AACGAACGCUGGCGGCAGGCUUAACACAUGCAAGUCGAGCGCCCCGCAAGGGGAGCGGCAGACGGGUGAGUAACGCGUGGGAAUCUACCCAUCUCUACGGAAUAACGCAUGGAAACGUGUGCUAAUACCGUAUACGUCCUUCGGGAGAAAGAUUUAUCGGAGAUGGAUGAGCCCGCGUUGGAUUAGCUAGUUGGUGGGGUAAAGGCCUACCAAGGCGACGAUCCAUAGCUGGUCUGAGAGGAUGAUCAGCCACACUGGGACUGAGACACGGCCCAGACUCCUACGGGAGGCAGCAGUGGGGAAUAUUGGACAAUGGGCGCAAGCCUGAUCCAACCAUGCCGCGUGAGUGAUGAAGGCCCUAGGGUUGUAAAGCUCUUUCACCGGUGAGGAUAAUGACGGUAACCGGAGAAGAAGCCCCGGCUAACUUCGUGCCAGCCGCCGCCGUAAAAC